rnacentral:ncRNA from 1 species
UCUUAUCAAGAGCAGGCAGAGGGACUUGGCCCGAUGAAGCCCAGCAACCGACCGUAAUUCCAUCGCAAGGUGGGGCGCUAUUUAUAGCGCCGGGAAUCCCCCCAUAAGGCACGGUGCUAAUUCCAACAGGAAGUAUACUACUUCCUGGCAGAUAAGA